CGGAGGUGGCAAGCGUUACUCGGAAUUAUUGGGUGUAAAGGGCAAGUAGGCGGUCUAAUAAGUGGGUGGUGAAAUACUCCGGCUCAAUCGGAGAACUGCCUUCCAAACUGUUAGACUUGAGUGUGACAGAGGAAAAUGGAAUUCUAGGUGUAAGGGUGAAAUCUGUAGAUAUCUAGAAGAACACCAGCGGCGAAGGCGAUUUUCUGGGUCACUACUGACGCUAAAUUGCGAAAGCUAGGGGAGCAAACAGAAUUAGAUACUCUGGUAGUCCUAGCCGUAAACGAUGAGCACUAGGUGUUGGGUCCUUUAGGAUUCGGCGCCGCAGCUAACGCAUUAAGUGCUCCACCUGGGGACUACGGUCGCAAGGCUA
rnacentral:rRNA from 1 species